UGGCAAUGGGCAGACACAGAGCAGAAAGUGGCGGACUUGGGCGGCCACAGAGCCUUUAUGACCGAAGAUGGAAAUGAAAUGCCAUCCUAUUAUCAAGAAGGAGCAUAAGAACAGCUAGAGGAGAGAUGCAAGAUUGAAAUAUCAUGGAAUGGACUAUGGUUUAUCCUCUCUUCUGGUCGUAAAACACCAUCAGGUUGUAAUUGUUCAGAUCAGAAAUUCCCAAGCUUUUAAUAAAGCCUUCAGGGAGCCUCAUUCAGGGGCAACUGCCCUGUCAUUGGGAAUAAGUAGAGUGUGUGGGAAAUAUGUUGUCCUUGGUAAAACCUCCCCUUAGGAAAGAAGGCAAGAGAAUUGAGUAAGAUAAUGAUGGGCCAAAAGGAGAAAAUAGAGAAAGAGCCUGCAUGCUACAGAGAACAAGAGCAAAAUUCAAAAGCCUGGCACAGUUGGGCUUGAAACCAUCUGUGUAAAGGGGACUAAUAAUGCUGACCUCACUG
rnacentral:antisense_RNA from 1 species